rnacentral:lncRNA from 1 species
UUCAAUUAAAAGUGUUUUGAUUUGCAUUUAACUUUGCAGGAAUUAACUGUCAAGGUGGCAUCACAGUUUAAUGAGCUACUGGGAGAAAUUACGUAGUCUCCAGCCAGACAGUUUUCAAGCUGGUCACAUCUUGCUGCUUGCCUGAGUUUUUGGACUGUGAGAACAAACAGC